ACCCCUCACACCUGAGAGAGCUUGAUUUGAGUAACAAUUACCUGAAGUAUUCAGGAGUGAAGCUUCUCUCUGCUGGACUGGGGAAUCCCCACUGUAAACUGGAGACUGAGACUUUGACCAGAUACUAUUGCAUCUAAAGAUCAACUGUACCUAGAACAUAGAUACAGAGCCACUUGUCAUCAGGAAGCUGCUCUCUCAGCACAACGGAAAAUAUCUCAAUGACUUGACAUGUUCUGGUUGUGAAUUCAGACUACAAGAAGUCAGUGCUCGAAAAUGAUUCUCUCUGGGAAGAGAGAGGAGGGGGCCCCUGCCUCUAAAAUGAGUCUCUCUGGUGAACAUGACACCAAAGCUAAGAGAUCGAGGCACAGACACGGUCUCAAUGGGGAAAGCUGAGCUGACUACGCUGACUGUGCUAUGAUGUGUGUGUUUACAAAGUGAGUUGUGUGACGUGUAUAUUGUUCGUAGUUAGUUGUUAGUCAUGUUGUAUGCUGUCUUUGUGUAUAGUUAGAUUGUAAUAUGUAAUAUGAUGGAUUGUAAUAUGUAAUAUGAUGGAUUGUAAUAUGUAAUAUGAUGGAUUGUAAUAUGUACCAGGUAGCAGAUACAUGUUCAUCCACUCCUUCCCUUGUUAACAGUCUUGUAACAGUCUUCAUUUCUUGUGACAAUAAAAUCACUUUUACAUACAUUUCAAAUAUAUACAUAUAUAUGUAGUGUUUUGGAAUGAACUAUUCUUAUGUUUCCUCAUUUGAGCUCAUAGUAGAUGAGAGACAUAAUGUUUGUCUCUGUUGUGUUGAAGCCCAAUCAAGCAGGAGAGACCAGCCUCCCCUGUACCCAGCUGUGUGUCCAUGAAGAGUGAUAAGUCUAUGGGUAUACCUAUAGUGUUUAGAGAGGGAGACUUUUCUACUGAACAAAGGUAAGAAGAACUCAUGGGUCAUGGUCAGUGAGUUAAGCAACACUGUCUCUAGUCCUUUCUUCUCUCCCAUUAAUAUAUUUUGUGUCUGCGUGUGUGUGUGUGUGUGUGCACUCCCUGGAUGAAGAGAUGUAAUGUGUUGUCAACAGAGACCAACAGGAGAGAUCAGAGUCAGAGAUUCUCAGUGGUCAGUCUUCCCAGAGUCAUCAAACAGACCUGGACUCCAUAUUCACUUUGCUUGAAGAGAAAAUUAUGACAUUUGUGAAGAACGAGCUGAAGAGGUUCAAGAGGAUUCUUAGUCCAGAACUCCCAGAAGGCUUUGAGAGUGUGAAGCAGGAUAAGGAAGUGGUGGAUGCUGAAGAUGAGA